AACAUGCAGAAACUUUUGUUUGAAAAGCAAAUCUUCUCCAACAGUGAUUUCUGUGGAGAAUGCAGAUACAAUCCAAGUGAGUGUUCUGCUUAAUAGAUCAGAAAAGUCCCAAAAGUCCAUGGCACCCGUUGCAGAAUAUUUUCCAGCUUUGGAAGAAGCCAGACUUCUCGUUGUGGAUUUUGAGCUAGAUGUGCUCUGUUAUGCAGCCAAGGAUCUUUCACUGAUGUAUGCAAUUUCAAAGUUGGUAAUACCUGGUUUAGUUGACCAAUUAAACUCAAUGAAGAAAGCUGUCUUGCCCAAACUUUUAACAGAACGUCCACAGCUACAUUCAUACCACUUUAAUCCACCUGGGUUUUUGCAUCCAAUAACUGCCAUCUACGAACUCAGUUAUGGGGAGACGGAAAUGAAACAAGUUGAAGUCAGAAGAUCCUUGCACUUGAGGCUGGGGCUACCUUUUGAUCGUCCUCUUCUACGAGUCGCUAAUGCACUUGAUUUCUCUACAUUGAAGGAUAAUUCAGGAAGUAACUCAAGACGAAAAGGCCUUUCUCUGCUAAAAGAUGUGCAUAUUGGGAUCCCAAGUAGCGGAGUCUCGGGGGGAAUUGUCUCUUUGGUUCAAGGUUCUUAUGAAUAUCAUCAUUAUCUUCAAGAUGGCUUUGAUGACUCGGGCUGGGGUUGUGCUUACCGUUCUCUACAAACUAUCAUUUCAUGGUUCAGACUCCAGCAUUAUACUUCCAUUGAAGUUCCCUCUCAUAGGGAAAUACAGCAAUCACUAGUGGAAAUUGGUGAUAAAGAUCCUUCUUUUAUUGACUCACGUGAAUGGAUUGGUGCUAUUGAGUUGAGCUUUGUUUUGGAUAAGCUUCUGGGUGUAACUUGCAAAAUCAUAAAUGUCAGAUCAGGAGCUGAGCUUCCUGAAAGAUGUAGAGAGCUGGCCUUGCACUUUGAGAAUCAAGGAACACCUAUUAUGAUAGGUGGCGGUGUUCUUGCAUAUACACUUUUGGGAGUUGAUUACAAUGAAAGUAGUGGAGAUUGUGCUUUUCUAAUACUUGAUCCUCAUUAUACUGGAAAUGAUGAGCACAAGAAAAUUAUAAAUGGUGGUUGGUGUGGAUGGAAAAAAGCUGUUGAUAGCAAGGGAAAGAAUUUCUUCUUGCAUGACAAGUUCUAUAAUCUUCUCCUGCCACAAAGGCCCAACAUGGUUUAGUGCGGUCAACUUGGUAUCCUCAACACCUCCAUACAUAAAAGGAAGCUUUAUAACAAUUUGCAUGCCAUGAAAAGUUUAUAAUUUA
rnacentral:misc_RNA from 1 species